AACGAACGCUGGCGGCGUGGAUAAGACAUGCAAGUCGAACGCUGAUUCGUGGGGGUAGCAAUAUUCUGCAGUCGGAGUGGCGAAAGGGUGCGUAACACGUGGGUCAUUUGGCCGUCGGAAGUUGGGGGACAACUCGCUGAAAGGCGAGCUAAUACCGAAUGUGGCUGUAAAGCUAAAGUUGGGGACCGCAAGGCCUGACGCUUCACGAUAAGCCCGCGGCCUAUCAGCAGUUGGUGAGGUAACGGCUCACCAAGGCUAAGACGGGUAGCUGGUCUGAGAGGACGACCAGCCUCACUGGAACUGAGACACGGGUCCAGACACCUACGGGUGGCAGCAGUCGAGAAUUUUU
rnacentral:rRNA from 1 species